UGGCCCGGGGGUGGAGGUGCUGCCCCGUGCUCAGCGGCCCUGGGACCGAAUCCCAUCUCCAAUAUUUCCCAGCGGUGGGACACCCACAACGCACGGGGCCUCUCUGACUCUCACCUUCUCGGCUCAUCUCUGACCUGCUCUCCCUGCGGGAAUGAAAGGGUUAAGUGCGAGGCACCUGCGUUUCAUAUUUUAUUAACGAGUCCAAAAGGAGCCCCUCGCCUGGGCUAGGAGUGAUGGGCCAUGUCCUUGUCGCCUUGGUUUCCAAGUUCCUUCAUCUGCCAGCGUUCACCGCGUGCGCGCACCCGCCCCACUCCUGAGCAGCACCCACGCCAGCCCAGGGUUGGACCUGAGAGCCACUCGCACCGUGGUGACUUAUUAAGCACGGCAUUUGGAAGGUGGCAUUGGCGGUGGAGAAGUGGGCUCUUCAGGCUCAGGAACAUCGUGGACCCUUUUAAACUUCCAGCAUCCCUGGGACUCCCACUCUCCAGAAGAACAGAGCGGGAUGGAAGCUGGAAGGUGCAGGAGACCGCAACCACGAACCAGCUUUCUGAGACCCUGGCCCCCCGCCAGUCCAGCAAGUCCACAGAGAGCAAGAGCAAAGCUGGGUGAGCUGAGCAGAGCGUCACCUUAAGCGGAAACACGGAGGAAGUUGAAGACGUGAUGGGAAAGGUCUUGGUGCCGAAAGGAACCUCGAGAGAGAGAUUUGAAACAGAGACCCUGUGCCUCCACCCAGGCUUGAGGGUGGAGCACCACAGACACAUCUGAGGAGGACCCAAAAGUG
rnacentral:lncRNA from 1 species